UUAAGCGACUAAGCGUACACGGUGGAUGCCCUGGCAGUCAGAGGCGAUGAAGGACGUGCUAAUCUGCGAUAAGCGUCGGUAAGGUGAUAUGAACCGUUAUAACCGGCGAUUUCCGAAUGGGGAAACCCAGUGUGUUUCGACACACUAUCAUUAACUGAAUCCAUAGGUUAAUGAGGCGAACCGGGGGAACUGAAACAUCUAAGUACCCCGAGGAAAAGAAAUCAACCGAGAUUCCCCCAGUAGCGGCGAGCGAACGGGGAGGAGCCCAGAGUCUGAAUCAGUGUGUGUGUUAGUGGAAGCGUCUGGAAAGGCGCGCGAUACAGGGUGACAGCCCGUACACAAAAAUGCACAUACUGUGAGCUCGAUGAGUAGGGCGGGACACGUGGUAUCCUGUCUGAAUAUGGGGGGACCAUCCUCCAAGGCUAAAUACUCCUGACUGACCGAUAGUGAACCAGUACCGUGAGGGAAAGGCGAAAAGAACCCCGGCGAGGGGAGUGAAAAAGAACCUGAAACCGUGUACGUACAAGCAGUGGGAGCCUCUUUUAUGGGGUGACUGCGUACCUUUUGUAUAAUGGGUCAGCGACUUAUAUUCUGUAGCAAGGUUAACCGAAUAGGGGAGCCGAAGGGAAACCGAGUCUUAACUGGGCGUUAAGUUGCAGGGUAUAGACCCGAAACCCGGUGAUCUAGCCAUGGGCAGGUUGAAGGUUGGGUAACACUAACUGGAGGACCGAACCGACUAAUGUUGAAAAAUUAGCGGAUGACUUGUGGCUGGGGGUGAAAGGCCAAUCAAACCGGGAGAUAGCUGGUUCUCCCCGAAAGCUAUUUAGGUAGCGCCUCGUGAAUUCAUCUCCGGGGUAGAGCACUGUUUCGGCAAGGGGGUCAUCCCGACUUACCAACCCGAUGCAAACUGCGAAUACCGGAGAAUGUUAUCACGGGAGACACACGGCGGGUGCUAACGUCCGUCGUGAAGAGGGAAACAACCCAGACCGCCAGCUAAGGUCCCAAAGUCAUGGUUAAGUGGGAAACGAUGUGGGAAGGCCCAGACAGCCAGGAUGUUGGCUUAGAAGCAGCCAUCAUUUAAAGAAAGCGUAAUAGCUCACUGGUCGAGUCGGCCUGCGCGGAAGAUGUAACGGGGCUAAACCAUGCACCGAAGCUGCGGCAGCGACGCUUAUGCGUUGUUGGGUAGGGGAGCGUUCUGUAAGCCUGUGAAGGUGUGCUGUGAGGCAUGCUGGAGGUAUCAGAAGUGCGAAUGCUGACAUAAGUAACGAUAAAGCGGGUGAAAAGCCCGCUCGCCGGAAGACCAAGGGUUCCUGUCCAACGUUAAUCGGGGCAGGGUGAGUCGACCCCUAAGGCGAGGCCGAAAGGCGUAGUCGAUGGGAAACAGGUUAAUAUUCCUGUACUUGGUGUUACUGCGAAGGGGGGACGGAGAAGGCUAUGUUGGCCGGGCGACGGUUGUCCCGGUUUAAGCGUGUAGGCUGGUUUUCCAGGCAAAUCCGGAAAAUCAAGGCUGAGGCGUGAUGACGAGGCACUACGGUGCUGAAGCAACAAAUGCCCUGCUUCCAGGAAAAGCCUCUAAGCAUCAGGUAACAUCAAAUCGUACCCCAAACCGACACAGGUGGUCAGGUAGAGAAUACCAAGGCGCUUGAGAGAACUCGGGUGAAGGAACUAGGCAAAAUGGUGCCGUAACUUCGGGAGAAGGCACGCUGAUAUGUAGGUGAAGUCCCUUGCGGAUGGAGCUGAAAUCAGUCGAAGAUACCAGCUGGCUGCAACUGUUUAUUAAAAACACAGCACUGUGCAAACACGAAAGUGGACGUAUACGGUGUGACGCCUGCCCGGUGCCGGAAGGUUAAUUGAUGGGGUCAGCGCAAGCGAAGCUCUUGAUCGAAGCCCCGGUAAACGGCGGCCGUAACUAUAACGGUCCUAAGGUAGCGAAAUUCCUUGUCGGGUAAGUUCCGACCUGCACGAAUGGCGUAAUGAUGGCCAGGCUGUCUCCACCCGAGACUCAGUGAAAUUGAACUCGCUGUGAAGAUGCAGUGUACCCGCGGCAAGACGGAAAGACCCCGUGAACCUUUACUAUAGCUUGACACUGAACAUUGAGCCUUGAUGUGUAGGAUAGGUGGGAGGCUUUGAAGUGUGGACGCCAGUCUGCAUGGAGCCGACCUUGAAAUACCACCCUUUAAUGUUUGAUGUUCUAACGUUGGCCCCUAAUCGGGGUUGCGGACAGUGUCUGGUGGGUAGUUUGACUGGGGCGGUCUCCUCCUAAAGAGUAACGGAGGAGCACGAAGGUUGGCUAAUCCUGGUCGGACAUCAGGAGGUUAGUGCAAUGGCAUAAGCCAGCUUGACUGCGAGCGUGACGGCGCGAGCAGGUGCGAAAGCAGGUCAUAGUGAUCCGGUGGUUCUGAAUGGAAGGGCCAUCGCUCAACGGAUAAAAGGUACUCCGGGGAUAACAGGCUGAUACCGCCCAAGAGUUCAUAUCGACGGCGGUGUUUGGCACCUCGAUGUCGGCUCAUCACAUCCUGGGGCUGAAGUAGGUCCCAAGGGUAUGGCUGUUCGCCAUUUAAAGUGGUACGCGAGCUGGGUUUAGAACGUCGUGAGACAGUUCGGUCCCUAUCUGCCGUGGGCGCUGGAGAACUGAGGGGGGCUGCUCCUAGUACGAGAGGACCGGAGUGGACGCAUCACUGGUGUUCGGGUUGUCAUGCCAAUGGCACUGCCCGGUAGCUAAAUGCGGAAGAGAUAAGUGCUGAAAGCAUCUAAGCACGAAACUUGCCCCGAGAUGAGUUCUCCCUGACUCCUUGAGAGUCCUGAAGGAACGUUGAAGACGACGACGUUGAUAGGCCGGGUGUGUAAGCGCAGCGAUGCGUUGAGCUAACCGGUACUAAUGAACCGUGAGGCUUAACCUU
rnacentral:rRNA from 1 species